GAUGAACGCUGGCGGCGUGCCUAAUACAUGCAAGUCGAGCGAACAGACGAGGAGCUUGCUCCUCUGACGUUAGCGGCGGACGGGUGAGUAACACGUGGAUAACCUACCUAUAAGACUGGGAUAACUUCGGGACACCGGAGCUAAUACCGGAUAAUAUAUUGAACCGCAUGGUUCAAUAGUGAAAGACGGUUUUGCUGUCACUUAUAGAUGGAUCCGCGCCGCAUUAGCUAGUUGGUAAGGUAACGGCUUACCAAGGCAACGAUGCGUAGCCGACCUGAGAGAGUGAUCGGCCACACUGGAACUGAGACACGGUCCAGACUCCUACGGGAGGCAGCAGUAGGGAAUCUUCCGCAAUGGGCGAAAGCCUGACGGAGCAACGCCGCGUGAGUGAUGAAGGUCUUCGGAGCGUAAAACUCUGUUAUUAGGGAAGAACAAAUGUGUAAGUUACUAUGCACGUCUUGACGGUACCUAAUCAGAAAGCCACGGCUAACUACGUG
rnacentral:rRNA from 1 species